rnacentral:rRNA from 1 species
AACGAACGCUGGCGGCGCGUUUUAAGCAUGCAAGUCGAACGGCAGUGCGGGUAGCAAUACCUGCAUGAGAGUGGCGAACGGGUGAGUAACACGUAGGUGAUCUGCCUCUGGGUGGGGGAUAGCCCGUGGAAACACGGGGUAAUACCGCAUGAGGCCUUGUGGGUAAAGCCAUGAGGUGAAAGGUGCAAUUGCACCGCCUGGGGAUGAGCCUGCGGUCCAUUAGGUAGUUGGCGGGGUAAAGGCCCACCAAGCCGACGAUGGAUAGCCGGCCUGAGAGGGUGGACGGCCACACUGGAACUGAGACACGGUCCAGACUCCUACGGGUGGCUG